rnacentral:rRNA from 1 species
GAUGAACGCUGGCGGCGUGCCUAAUACAUGCAAGUCGAGCGAACAGACGAGGAGCUUGCUCCUCUGACGUUAGCGGCGGACGGGUGAGUAACACGUGGAUAACCUACCUAUAAGACUGGGAUAACUUCGGGAAACCGGAGCUAAUACCGGAUAAUAUAUUGAACCGCAUGGUUCAAUAGUGAAAGACGGUUUUGCUGUCACUUAUAGAUGGAUCCGCGCCGCAUUAGCUAGUUGGUAAGGUAACGGCUUACCAAGGCAACGAUGGGUAGCCGACCUGAGAGGGGGAUCGGCACCCGGGAAGCGAGGACCCGCGCCAACACCCUGAGGGAGACACGGGGAGGAAUUCUGCCGGAAGGGGCGAAGGCGAGGAGGGGAAAAGGCGCGGAAGUGAGAAAGGUUUUCGGAGCGUAAAACUUUUUUUUUGGGGAAGAAAAAAUGUGUAAUAAACGAGACGAUUUUGACCGGACCCUAAUAAGAAGGCCCGGCUAAAUCCGGG